UUGCGGGAGGAGCAGGGCCCAAUGACAAUCGGCAUUUGGAUCGCCCAUUGAGGUCCACGGAUCCAUUUCCCGGGCCACACCUAGGGGGGGGGUC
rnacentral:rRNA from 1 species